AUGCACGCUGGCGGCGUGCCUAGUACAUGCAAGUCGAGCGAACGGACGAGAAGCUUGCUUCUCUGAUGUUAGCGGCGGACGGGUGAGUAACACGUGGAUAACCUACCUAUGAGACUGGGGUAACUUCGGGAAACCGGAGCUAAUACCGGAUAAUAUUUUGAACCGCAUGGUUCAAAAGUGAAAGACGGUCUUGCUGUCACUUAUAGAUGGAUCCGCGCUGCAUUAGCUAGUUGGUAAGGUAACGGCUUACCAAGGCAACGAUGCAUAGCCGACCUGAGAGGGUGAUCGGCCACACUGGAACUGAGACACGGUCCAGACUCCUACGGGAGGCAGCAGUAGGGAAUCUUCCGCAAUGGGCGAAAGCCUGACGGAGCAACGCCGCGUGAGUGAUGAAGGUCUUCGGAUCGUAAAACUCUGUUAUUAGGGAAGAACAUAUGUGUAAGUAACUGUGCACAUCUUGACGGUACCUAAUCAGAAAGCCACGGCUAACUACGUG
rnacentral:rRNA from 1 species